rnacentral:rRNA from 1 species
UACGGAGGGUGCAAGCAUUAAUCGGAUUUAUUGGGCGUAAAGAGGGCGUAGGCGGAGAUGUAAGUCAGAUGUGAAAGCCCGGGGCUCAACCCCGGAACGGCAUUUGAAACUGUAUUUCUAGAGGAUAGGCGGAGAAAACGGAAUUCCACAUGUAGCGGUGAAAUGCGUAGAUAUGUGGAAGAACACCGGUGGCGAAGGCGGUUUUCUAGCUUAGACCUGACGCUGAGGCCCGAAAGCAAGGGGAGCAAACAGG